rnacentral:pre_miRNA from 1 species
AAAGUACUCCCUCCGUCCCAAAAUUCUUGUCUUAGAUUUGUCUAGGUACGGAUGUAUCAAGUCACAUUUUAGUAUUAGAUACAUCCAUAUCUAGACAAAUCUAAGACAAGAAAUUUGGGACAGAGGGAGUAGUUG